UACGGGGGGAGCAAGCGUUGUUCGGAUUUACUGGGCGUAAAGGGCGCGUAGGCGGUCAGCACAAGUCAGUUGUGAAAUCUCCGGGCUUAACUCGGAAAGGUCAACUGAUACUGUGCGACUAGAGUGCAGAAGGGGCUACUAGAAUUCCGUGUGUAGCGGUGAAAUGCGUAGAUAUACGGAGGAACACCAGCGGCGAAGGCGGGUUGCUAGGCUGACACUGACGCUGAGGCGCGAAAGCUAGGGUAGCAAACGGG
rnacentral:rRNA from 1 species